rnacentral:misc_RNA from 1 species
AACGCAAAUUGCACUCCCUGGUAUUCCGGGGAGUAUGCCUGUUUGAGGGUCGUUAGAAUAAAAAAUCGAAGCGUCGCUCUUUUUUUUAAGGGUGAUCGCGUCGGAAUUGAGCCGUCUUUCAAAUGUUAAUUCAUGUCAAAGUGGCUUAAAAUUCAUCCACCCGGUACGAUUAAAGCGUAUUUAAGAUCAAUUUUGUUCAAGAACGCGCGAUGACGUACCAUCUCAUGUAGUACGUUUGACCUGGGUCAUCAGGCUCAUUCGUAUACGAUACUCAAACUUUUGACCUCAAAUCAGGUAAGAAUACCCGCUGAACUUAA